GACGAACGCUGGCGGCGUGCCUAAUACAUGCAAGUCGAACGCUUCUUUCCUCCCGAGUGUUUGCACUCAAUUGGAAAGAGGAGUGGCGGACGGGUGAGUAACACGUCGGUAACCUACCCAUCAGAGGGGGAUAACACUUGGAAACAGGUGCUAAUACCGCAUAACAGUUUAUGCCGCAUGGCAUAAGAGUGAAAGGCGCUUUCGGGUGUCGUUGAUGUAUGGACCGGCGGUGCAUUAGCUAGUUGGUGAGGUAACGGCUCACCAAGGCCACGAUGCAUAGCCGACCUGAGAGGGUGAUCGGCCACACUGGGACUGAGACACGGCCCAGACUCCUACGAGAGGCAGCAGUAGGGAAUCGUCGGCAAUGGACGAAAGUCUGACCGAGCAACGCCGCGUGAGUGAAGAAGGUUUUCGGAUCGUAAAACUCUGUUGUUAGAGAAGAACAAGGACGUUAGUAACUGAACGUCACCUAACGGUAUCUAACCAGAAAGCCACGGCUAACUACGUG
rnacentral:rRNA from 1 species